rnacentral:rRNA from 1 species
UUUGUUUAUACGUACCACAUGUUUCCUCGGGGGGCUUGCCCCCCGUUAGGACACCCCAUAAACCUUUUUGUAAUAGCAGUUAGCGUCUGAAAACUAAGUUAAUUAUUAAAACUUUCAACAAUGGAUCUCUUGGUUCUGGCAUCGAUGAAGAACGCAGCGAAAUGCGAUAAGUAGUGUGAAUUGCAGAAUUCAGUGAAUCAUCGAAUCUUUGAACGCACAUUGCGCCCCUUGGUAUUCCAUGGGGCAUGCCUGUUCGAGCGUCAUUUGAACCCUCAAGCUUUGCUUGGUGUUGGGUGUUUGUCCCGCCUUUGCGUGUGGACUCGCCUUAAAGUCAUUGGCAGCCAUGUAAUUCGGCUUUGAGCGCAGCACAUUGCGAUCUCUCUGCUGGUACAUUGGCAUCCAGAAGCCUUUUUUUACGCUUGACCUCGGAUCAGGUAGGGAUACCCGCUGAACUUAAGCAUAUCAAUA